UUAAAAUCUAAUUAAACAGGAUUAUAAUAAACGGUAAUACAAAGUGGUGACAGACGACUGUUCAACUCAACCGUAUUCAUUAAGUUUCGAAGUGGCAAACAGACAGUGAUUAUAGACUAUUAAUUUUUAAGAAGCUAAUAAUUUAACGAUGUCUCAAAAUUCUGUAAUAUUUCCCUUAUGUUGUGUUUUAUUAUUCUGUGUACUUUCAAUAAAUUCGCAACCAGGGCUGGAUUGUUUAACGGGAUGUCAUCCAAUACCAUCCAAUGGGAUAAUCUCGACUUGCAGUAAUGGACUACCAGCAGAUCAAGACGGAUCAUGUGAAUGUUGUCCUCCUGAUCCUUCAACUGGANCCCUUAUGUUCCUCCUCCCUAACCGUAUCUUUCUCCUCCCAAUGAUGAUAGUAAGCCAAUAAAUGAUUAAAAUUUCGAAAUAUAAUUAAACACUUACAAUUUAUUCGAUUCAUUUUUAUAAUUAAUCACUAUGGCUUGAAUCUCCAUUAGUUAACGAAUUUCCUCUCCGUGUAUUGAUUACGAUUACAAACAUAUUUUUAAAAACAUUAAAUUUACUAUGUUAUGUUAUUAUACUGUACGACUAAAUAUUAUGAUCAUAAAAUUUAGUAUAUUUCGUUUGUAUAUGAUUAGUCGAAUGUAUUUAUUUUUAUGAUUGAUUUAAAAUUAUAAUUUUCACCGUUUUGUUAAAAAUAUAUCAAUAUAUAUAAACAUAUUUAAAUAUAUAUAAUUUUCUUUGGUAAAGUUUAUCCAGGCUUAACCUAUGAUUACCUAUUACAAUUUUUACUAAUGCUGUAGACAUAAUUAUUUUGUAUGUAAUGUUAAUUUUUCGCUUAUGUGUAUGUAUACAAAUGUAUACUAUUUAUAAGCUACAAUAAAUGUUUGAAGUACAUAAUAUAAAUAA